GUCUAUGGCCAUGCUACCCUGAACGCGACCCAUCCCGUCUGAUCUCGGAAGCUAAGCAGGGUCGGGCCUGGUUAGUACUUGGGUGGGAGACCACCUAGGAAGACCAGGUGCUGUAGGCG
rnacentral:rRNA from 1 species